CCUACGGGAGGCUGCAGUGGGGAAUAUUGGGCAAUGGACGCAAGUCUGACCCAGCAACGCCGCGUGAAGGAAGAAGGCUUUCGGGUUGUAAACUUCUUUUAAGGGGGAAGAGCAGAAGACGGUACCCCUUGACUAAGCCACGGCUAACUACGUGCCAGCAGCCGCGGUUAUACGUAGGUGGCAAGCGUGGUCCGGAUUUACUGGGGGUAAAGGGCGUGCAGCCGGAGAGACAAGUCAGAGGUGAAAUCCACGGGCUCAACCCGUGAACUGCAUUUGAAACUGUUUCCCUUGAGUGUCGGAGAGGGAAUCGGAAUUCCUAGGGUAGCGGGGAAAUGCGUAGAUAUUAGGAAGAACACCAGUGGCGAAGGCGGAUUACUGGACGAUAACUGACGGUGAGGCGCGAAAGCGUGGGGAGCAAACAGGAUUAGAUACCCUGGUAGUC
rnacentral:rRNA from 1 species